AGCAGCCGCGGUAAUUCCAGCUCCAAUAGCGUAUAUUAAAGUUGUUGCAGUUAAAAAGCUCGUAGUUGAAUUUCGGGGUUAGUAGGUUGGUCAUGCCUCUGGUAUGUACUGGUCUCACUGAUUCCUCCUUCCUGAUGAGCCGUAAUGCCAUUAAUUUGGUGUUUUGGGGAAUUUGGACUGUUACUUUGAAAAAAUUAGAGUGUUUAAAGCAAGCUAACGCUUGAAUACAUUAGCAUGGAAUAAUGAAAUAGGACGUUCGAUCCUAUUUUGUUGGUUUCUAGGAUUGACGUAAUGAUUAAUAGGGAUAGUUGGGGGCAUUAGUAUUCAAUUGUCAGAGGUGAAAUUCUUGGAUUUAUUGAAGACUAACUACUGCGAAAGCAUUUGCCAAGGAUGUUUUCAUUAAUCAAGAACGAAAGUUAGGGGAUCGAAGACGAUCAGAUACCGUCGUAGUCUUAACCAUAAACUAUGCCGACUAGGGAUCGGAUGAUGUUAAUUUAAUGACUCA
rnacentral:rRNA from 1 species